UGCCCUUUCAAGAAUCUAUAUACCUUGCAUCACAUAUCUACAUCUGCUCCUACUUACAGCAGGAAUUCCUUGCUCUUUGACACUGCACAGGAUAAUUAUUAUCAGUGCACUGCAGUACAUCUGGAAAGAUGAAGGAAUGCUGGCUCAGCAUACCUCAGGCAAAGCACUGCACCUCUUAAAGAAGGAUGGAUUACAUAAAACAGCACAAGAGCUGCAUCAGCCUUUCAUGCACACUGAAAACCAGGCAUAAUUGCUUUGAAGUGGAAGAGUUACAGCAGUGCAGGUCUCCAACUGCAGAACAGCUGUCUAGAUAAGAAUAGCUGAAUACCCUGUGACCCUUGCUGAUGCCCUGCCCCGCGCUGGAGCUCAGAAGCUGACCUGCAGAGAUUGAGGUACCUUGCUCCUCUCCUGUCUUCUCUGUCUGCUGCUGGAAGAUUUGGCCAUGGGGCUGCCUGAUUCACAGAAUCCAUUCUUCUGAUUGGUACUUUAGCCAUUUCUACACCUGCUGCCUGAAUACUGUGUGGUCACUCCAUUGAUGGAAACCAGCCAGACAUCUCUGGGUUAGUUCGUGGGUGAAUUCUCUCUAGCAGCAUCAUUUAUAUUUGGUAAAUGCAGUUUAAUUUGAGAGCCUUGUUUAUAGUCUGUCAUUUAC